rnacentral:rRNA from 1 species
UACAGAGGGUGCGAACGUUGUUCGGAAUUACUGGGCGUAAAGCGUGCGCAGGCGGUCUGUUAAGACAGAUGUGAAAUCCCCGGGCUUAACCUGGGAACUGCAUUUGUGACUGGCAGGCUAGAGUAUGGCAGAGGGGGGUAGAAUUCCACGUGUAGCAGUGAAAUGCGUAGAGAUGUGGAGGAAUACCGAUGGCGAAGGCAGCCCCCUGGGCCAAUACUGACGCUCAUGCACGAAAGCGUGGGGAGCAAACAGG